GCUGGCGGCGUGCUAAUACAUGCAAGUCAACUUGACUUUAGAUAGCAAUAUCGAAAGUAGGGUGCGGCACGGGUGCGUAACGCGUAGGUAAUCUGCCCUGAGGUCUGACAUAACCCGUCGAAAGGCGGGCUAACAUCAGAUGAUAUAUAGUCACGACAUCGUGGAAAUAUCAAAUCUUCGGAGCCUUGGGAUGAGCCUGCGUCUGAUUAGGUAGUUGGCGGAGUAAUAGCCCACCAAGCCUACGAUCAGUAGCUGGUCUGAGAGGAUGAUCAGCCACACUGGAACUGAGACACGGUCCAGACUCCUACGGGAGGCAGCAGUAAGGAAUAUUGCUCAAUGGGGGAAACCCUGAAGCAGCAACGCCGCGUGAAGGAUGAAAUACUUUUGUAUGUAAACUUCUGUAAGAUGGGAAAAAUAUUCUCCUCGGGAGAAUUGAUUGUACCAUCAGAGUAAGCCCCGGCUAACUACGUG
rnacentral:rRNA from 1 species